CGAAUGCUGACAUAAGUAACGAUAAAGCGGGUGAAAAGCCCGCUCGCCGGAAGACCAAGGGUUCCUGUCCAACGUUAAUCGGGGCAGGGUGAGUCGACCCCUAAGGCGAGGCCGAAAGGCGUAGUCGAUGGGAAACAGGUUAAUAUUCCUGUACUUGGUGUUACUGCGAAGGGGGGACGGAGAAGGCUAUGUUGGCCGGGCGACGGUUGUCCCGGUUUAAGCGUGUAGGCUGGUUUUCCAGGCAAAUCCGGAAAAUCAAGGCUGAGGCGUGAUGACGAGGCACUACGGUGCUGAAGCAACAAAUGCCCUGCUUCCAGGAAAAGCCUCUAAGCAUCAGGUAACAUCAAAUCGUACCCCAAACCGACACAGGUGGUCAGGUAGAGAAUACCAAGGCGCUUGAGAGAACUCGGGUGAAGGAACUAGGCAAAAUGGUGCCGUAACUUCGGGAGAAGGCACGCUGAUAUGUAGGUGAAGUCCCUCGCGGAUGG
rnacentral:rRNA from 1 species